AUUGAACGCUGGCGGCAGGCCUAACACAUGCAAGUCGAGCGGCAGCGACUUAACUGAACCUUCGGGGAACGUUAAGGGCGGCGAGCGGCGGACGGGUGAGUAAUGCCUGGGAAUAUGCCCUGAUGUGGGGGAUAACUAUUGGAAACGAUAGCUAAUACCGCAUAAUCUCUUCGGAGCAAAGAGGGGGACCUUCGGGCCUCUCGCGUCAGGAUUAGCCCAGGUGGGAUUAGCUUGUUGGUGAGGUAAUGGCUCACCAAGGCAACGAUCCCUAGCUGGUCUGAGAGGAUGAUCAGCCACACUGGAACUGAGACACGGUCCAGACUCCUACGGGAGGCAGCAGUGGGGAAUAUUGCACAAUGGGGGAAACCCUGAUGCAGCCAUGCCGCGUGUGUGAAGAAGGCCUUCGGGUUGUAAAGCACUUUCAGUAGGGAGGAAGGUAGUGUAGUUAACACCUGCAUUAUUUGACGUUACCUACAGAAGAAGCACCGGCUAACUCCGUGCCAGCAGCCGCGGUAAUACGGAGGGUGCGAGCGUUAAUCGGAAUUACUGGGCGUAAAGCGCAUGCAGGCGGCCUGUUAAGUCAGAUGUGAAAGCCCGGGGCUUAACCUCGGAAUUGCAUUUGAAACUGGCAGGCUAGAGUCUUGUAGAGGGGGGUAGAAUUUCAGGUGUAGCGGUGGAAUGCGUAGAGAUCUGAAGGAAUACCAGUGGCGAAGGCGGCCCCCUGGACAAAGACUGACGCUCAGAUGCGAAAGCGUGGGGAGCAAACAGG
rnacentral:rRNA from 1 species